GCCCCGUGGUUACUGGACCUGUAUGACGUUACAUUGUUCCAGUGUGUGAUAAAGGGCAGACAUUAGUACUGUGAUAUUUAGCAUGGGGCAUGACAUCGCUGUGUUGUCCCCAUAGCCCGGUCACAGUGACACAC